UCAAAGAGAACGAACAACACCUAAUUGCAUUCUGUUUAAGCUCAAUAGAAAAUAAGUAGUUAAUGCGACCAAGAAAGUAGUGCAGCAGAACUAUAUGUAUACUUUCAAACGUGGAUGACUUGAAGAAAAAGCUGAUGUUCAAAAAAACUUGAAAUGAUGAUAUUCAAUGUUAGCUUACAUCAAUGGAACAUAAUCUUAAACGUGUACGGAAAAAAAACAUCAGUAUUAUUACGCAUUAGGCCAAAGAAAAGUUUGUGUCCAUGUACCUUAUGUACAAUAAAUUGAAUAUAAAUAAGGUGUAAUUUUGUAGCAGAGAUGCUGAAAAAUUCACAUGUAAGUCAACCGAAGGGAAAUGAAAGUAUUUAUUGUAUAUAUUUAGCAAUUUAUUGAAUAGCAUUUUAUGCCACCGCUGAUUUUUUUUACGUCAAUAACUCAAGAGGAAACAAUGGAUACAAUAUGUGGCCUUAAAAAAACGUACUAUUUUCGCAAAAAAUGGUUCGCAAACUUUCAUAGAAUCAAAGCGUUUGAAACAAAAAUAUUAUUAUAUAAAUAGGGUAAAGUGAUGUGUCCGACUUACGAUCACUUUACCCUAAUAAAAAACAAGAUUACAAUACAAGUCUGGUAAAACUUGGUUUUGACUAGAUCUAGUAGGGCACACCCGCCAUUGUUCGGACCAUCGACAGAAUAACGUUCGUGUUUUUCAGAUUUCUCCAUCCAAGACAUAGAUUUGCUGAUGAAUAACAUCGCAAAGGUGUCUGAAUUAUGUGACCAUCAGUGGAGAUUAAACGAGAAAGAAAGCGAUCACAAUUUCGUUCAACUCUCCAAGAAAAAUGCCCGAUAACCGGCCAUUCUCGACUUGUCUCGAAUAUUUUGAGUAAACUGGGAACUCAACAAGCCUGGACUUAAAAUGCUAAAUAUGCAAAAGCGAUUUAUAUUAUUAUAUAAUUUUUACAUGUAUCUCAACGUACAAAAUUAUUAUAUACAGUAAAAUAACAAUAUUUAUCAAUUGAAAGGUAUCAUUUAUUAAAACAAAAUUGGGAGAAAAUACUACUAAUCAUUACCGUUAAUCAUUAUUAUAUUCAUUUAUUAAAACCAAGUAUAUAUAAUGAGAAACAAUAAAAUAGUGUUUGAUAGAAAUGACUUAUAUACAAUCCUUUGUUUAGAACUGAAUAAGUAGACCCGAAGCAGACAUAAAAAGUGCCGGACAGUCCGCGUACCGUUUACCGUCGAUCCAUUUACAGCGCUUUUGCAAUUGACGUCACUAACGUCCCUUUUAUCCUCACACUUUCCUGUUAGAGAUUUUGUAAUCGCCGUUUUUAAAUUGAUUGUACCAGUUGAAAACGAGUGUCCUGAUGGCAGGAUAAUUUUCCUUUCUUAAUUUUAUUAUUUUGUAUGUAUCUGAAAUAAAAUUGCGAAUUUGUAGGCACAAUGUAACGAUCGCACGAAUUUCUGUUUGUUACCGAGUGCCGUAUUUCAACAUUUAACGUCAUGACCACAGCUGUUCAAAACUAAAUUAUUAUGCCAUUUCAUGCCCUAAUGAUGUCAAAUUUAGAUAUAAUGUCACUUAAAUAUAAAUUAAUGUGUUGGUGGAAUAUAUGGACAAACAGGGUAUAAAUUAUGAAUAAAUUUGAAGUACAACUUAGCUUCAAUAACUAUUUUUAUGUGCUGCGCCGGGUGUGUGUUACCAUGGUUAUUCAAUAUCACAGGAAACACGCGUUCAUCACAAUAUAUUAAUAAACUUAUGCAUAAAUUGUCGAAAACAUUUUACGAUCCCUAUACAUAUGAAAAUAUUCUAAAUUGGAUGAAAUAUGAAUAUGCAAGACUCUCAGUCCUAUUACUUUUUGAACAACCCUCGUACAUACUGUAUAUACACUAUAAUUACUAUAGUAUACUAUAAAAAUCUUUAUGCUUGGACAAUUUUGAACAAAUUGUUUCUUAAACAGUGUAAGAAAUUAGGAUUUGAAUCGACUAGGCUGGUCAGACUACUAGAUUGGAAUAUUCACUUGUCCAAAAGACAUUUCACUAGCACGAUUCAUUUGUUCAAAACAGUUGUUUAUAUUGCCUCUGAAAAUACAGUAGCCUGGUCGGGCUUGUUACUGUGAAAAGUUGAUAGCCCAAGGAGAAAUUUAGUAGUCGGGCUCUCAGACUACUGCUAAUUUCGAACACUGCUUAAAUUAUUGAUUUGAUAUCAACUAACAUAAUUAUUAGGAUACUAUAUGUAUAUCUAAUAAUAAUUAUAUUUUAUGUUUCAGAAGUUCGGCCUACAUGUCAGAUUUAUGAAUGUGAACAGCAGGAUAUCGAUUUUAAGGAUGCUUUAGGGUCAAUGACAAUGAAAUCACGAGAGAUAAAGGCUAAAAUGUGAGACUGUCAAUCUGACUAACCUUGAAGUGAACAAAUGGAAAAAAUGUUUCUUUCAAUAGCAUGGGCUUUUAAGGAAGAGGAAACAGAGGCGCUUAUAUGAUAGAACAGUAAAAGCAGGAGUGAUAAGGAAAGAUACAUGUAGAUAUGUCUUCAUGUCGGAAACACUAAAGAAAUAGAAAUAUUGUGGUUUUAUAAAACUUAAAAGAAAUUGGAAUAUCAGGAGACUGCCUGCCCUUUGCAAUGUUGGAUAAUGAGUUCUUAGAUGUGAUGUCGAAAGCCUCAUGAAUAUAGUACCAUGACUUAAUCUAAUUAGAAAAAGAAAUGACAUUGAGGAGAAAACUAGUCACCAGUCUUUCACCAAGAACUAGAGAUAACUUUCCAAUAUUUGAAAUAUCAUAAUAUGUAUAGAACUUUAUUGAGCCACCAGUUUUUCACCAGGAAAAUAAGAUCACUUAACUAUUUUUAGCUCACCUGUCACAAAGUGACAGGGUGAGCUUUUUUGAUCGCUUUUCGUCUGGCGUCCACUUUAAAUGACAUCUCCUCAUAAACCACUAAGCCAAUUUCAUCCAAACUUCACAGGAAUGUUUCUUUGGUGGUCACCUCUAAAUAUUGUUCAUAGAACGCUGGUUGCCAUGGCAACCAAAAGAAAAAAACUUAAAGUAUCUUCUUUUAAAGAACCCAAAGAGCUAGAGCUUAGACAAAGUAUCUUUUUUUAAAGGUAUGAAACAUCUUCUAGUGAGUGUCUACAAAGUUUGUUCAAAUAAAAGCCCUGGGGUCAAAAUUGGCCCCUCCCCUGGGGUCAUUGAUUUUCCUUAUAUGUGUAUAGCAAAAACUUAAAAACCUUCUUUGAAAAAACCUAAAUAGCUAGAGUUUAGAUAUUAAGCAUGAAACAUCUUCUGGUAAGUGUGUACAAGGCCCCACCCCAGGGGUUUCAUUGUUUUUAACUAUUUGUGUAUAGUAAAAACUUAAAAAAUCUUCUUUUAAAAAACCCAAUGAGCUAGAGCCUAGAUGUUUAGCAUGAAACAUCUUAUGGUGUCGACCAAGUUUGUUCAAAUUUAAGCCCUUGUAUAAAAAUUGGCCAUGCCGGGGUGGGGGGUGGUGCAGAGGUCUUUGUUUUACAUUAUAUGUGUGUAGUAAAAACUUAACAUCAUGAAACAUCUUCUAACGGGUGUCUUACAAGUUUGGUCAAAUAAAAGCCCUGGGGUUUAAACUGGCCCUUCACCAGGGGCCUAUAUACACAUGGCCCUCUUGUUCAACAAUCUUGUUGAAAUAUGUAUGAACAAAUCUUUAUCAAUUUCAAGCUUUUAUUGAAGGAAUUUGAAAUAACUUGGCAGAAAUGAUUGUUAUAAUAAGACAAUGAGUCAUGUCAACAACCAGACCCCUACCUCCAGGGUCAAGGUCGCACUUGCUCAUUCAAGGUCAACUUGUCUAUUUGAGAGUAUAUCUCCUGUCUGGUCUUCCCUAUCUCUAAAGGGAUUUUGUAAAUUCUUGCCACAAUUUCUCACAAUAAUGAGAAGAUGUAUCUUGCUCAACAACAGCUCACCUGCCUCCAAGGUCAAGGUCACACUUGGAGGUCAAAUAUUAGCAUAGCCUGUUACAGGGUAUAUUUCGUGUCCGGUCCAUAACUUUGUCAUUUAUUGAAGGAAUUUGAAAUAACUUGGCACAAAUGUUUGUUAUAAUAAGACGAUGAUGUGCAACAACCAGACCCUUACCUUCAGGGUCAAGGUCACACUUGCUCAUUCAAGGUCAACAUUGUCCAUUUGAGGGUAUAUCUCGUGUCCAGUCUAUACCUUUCUUAUCUUUAAAAGGAUUUUGUAAAUACUUGCCGCAAUUGUUCACAACAAUGAGAUGAUGUGUUAUGCGCAACAAUCGGUCACCAACCUACAAGGUCAAGGUCACACUUGGAGGUCUAAGAUUAACAUAGCCUGUUAUAGGGUUGUUUUUUUUGUCCUGUCCAUAACUUUUUUGUAUAUCAAAGGAUUUUGAAAACACUUGGCACAAAUAUUCACUAUAAUAAGACAAUGUGUCAAGCGCAACACCUGCAUCCCUACCUCCAAGGUCAGGGUCACAUUUCGAGGUAAAAAAUUAACAGUCUUUUAAAGGGUAUAUAUUGUGUCCAAUGUAGAACUUCUUCAUAGUUCAAGGGAUUUUGAAAUAACUUGGCACAAAUAGUCAAAAUAAUAAGACGAUAUGUCAAUUACAACACCUGCACCCCUGCCUCCAAGGUCAAGGUCACACUUAGAGGUAUAAAGGUAACAAAGUCUGUUAUAUGGUAUAUUUUAUGCCCCGUCCAUAACUUCUUCAUAGAUGAAGGGAUUUGGAAAAUACUUGGCACAAAUAGUCACAAUGAUAAGAUGAUAUGUCAUGCACAACACCUGCACCCCUACCUCCAAGGUCAAGGUCACACUUAGAGGUCAAAGCAGGGAUUUUUUCUAGGAUUUUGGGAACAUAACCCAUACCCAUGCAACUGGGAAUUUCAGCGAUAUUUUGUUAAAAUUUGGAAAAAAUGUAUGACUGAACGUUUGCAGUGAUUAAAUGUAUGCAAGCAAUCACUGCCUAGGAUGGCUUCUUCAAACAUUUAAACACUAUUACAGUAAAGAAGCCCUUAUUUUCAAAGAUUUUAGAAUUCUUUAUUCAAUAUUUAUAUUUUUGUAACUUUCAAUUGGGAAUAUUUUCCUUUGGAUUGGGAAAAUAAUAUACUAUUUUCAAUUGGGAAUAUGUCCCAAUAACGGCUAUAAAAUAAGCCAAAAAUCCCUGCAAAGCUUAACAUGAUAUAUUUUGAAAUUCAGUAUUUCAUUUUAUUUCUUUAAUAAAUUUAUUGUUGCAUUUGCAGAUCCAGCAUUGAUCAUAAUUUUGGACUGAAAAUCCUUAGAUCCCUGCCUCAAUCUUUUGAAAUAGCACAAUUUUUUGCUUCAUAUAAAACUUCCCUGAGGCGGGGGACGUUGGUAUCUCUGUCAAAAUUCUUGUUUAUUUUACCAACAAGUGUUCACUUUCAAACUUUUGAUCAUUGUAUUUUUUGUACUACCUUUUGUAUAAUGUUGUACUUUAUUUAUGUUCUUAUUCUAAGAUUAGCAUGGCCAACUCAUGAAAGUCCAAAUGAUGGUCAACUUUUUUAUGUUUUUUUUUGUUGUUUUUUUUUAAACAUUAUUUACUUUAUUUUUACAGUGUUCCUCUGAAUCAUACAUUCUGUUUAGUUAAACAUGCACUUCUUGUUACUUAUUUUCCCAUACUUCAUAUUACAUUGAUCACGGUUUGAUGUGAUGGCUCAUAAAAUUAUAACAAUAUCAUUUCUUUGUACUUUACCUAGUAAAAUAUGAAAACAGAAAUGCUCUUGUAAGCUAACCAAUAAGAUUUGUACACCUUUUAAGGAUACAAUUUAUAAUUGGUAUAUUCAACAAUAAAUCAAAACACAGGUCAAGUAUGAUUUCAGUUACAUUCCACAAAAUUUAUACAACAUUAUGCAUUCCUUACUAAAUCAUAUGCAAAAAAUUGAUUCAUAACUGAUAAUAUUUGAAUGCUUUUGAAAUCUUUAAAGAUUUUUCAUAUAACUCUGGACAAAAUUUAACAGUCUUUAGUGAGUUGGAGUGUAGUAUGAAAAAUCAGGUGUCUGUUGCAAAGAUCAAGGUCACUACUUUGGAUCAAAAGUCAAAUAAUAACUUAAAACAUAAGAGUAUAUUUCUAUAUACAUGGCUGGAUUUUCAUAACAUUUAUCACAAAUGCUCACUUAUGUAUACAUCUUUCUCCCCAAUCUGAAGCUUUAAGGUUCAGUUCUGAAUAAUGGCAACAGGCUUGAUAUAUGCUGCCAGUAGGCUUGUCUAAUUAUGUACAUAUUUUGAUUACCCACUCAAUAAAAGCAUUGUUCUUAACGCAGGCAUUCAAGUCCUAUGGGCACAUUUCUACUUUUGACUAUAUUUUGUUGUAUAAUGUCAGUCUUGUAUGUAAAAAAUCCUUAAAACAGCACCUCGUAUAUUACUGUCCGUUUGCAUUAAAGCUUCUUUCAUUCAGAUUGUUAUAACUUGUAUCACCUCAAUAUGUACCAAUAAUUUAAAGGGACUCACUCCAUUGAGGUUUAAAAGCCUAAAACAUAACAUUUGAAUUUCUACAGAAAUGAGCCGGGGCACUUGAUACAGAAAUAUAUGCACAGAUAGGGAAGAAAUAUACUUUGAAAGGAAUUGAAAAUCAAUUUUUUUAUGCUUUUCUCAGCCUGAUCUGCGUGAUAUGUGUUUAAACGCUUUCAUUUUGGGUAAUAUUUUUACAAUUUGAAUAAUUAUUCUUGAAAAACGAAGUGCGCAAAUGAUCUGAAAUUUUUCUCAAAGAUUAGUGGUCAAAACAUACAUCAAGUGGUACAUUAAUCUAGAAAAAUAAAUUUCAGUCUCAUCAUGUCAAAAAACCUCAGUGGAGUUCCUUUUACACAUUUUAUCUGACAAACUAAAUUUCAUUAUCUCCAUAUAUUUAAUCAUUUAUUUUUUAUAUUACAUAUAUUUUUACUUUUAUGCAAGUUUUGACAAUAAAAGUUUAUUUUAAA